UUUCCGUAGGUGAACCCGCGGAAGGAUCAUUAUUGGAUUUUGAAACUUCAGGCUGCUGCUGGCUCUCCUCGGAGGGCAUGUGCACGCUUGUUGUCCAUUAUUUCUCCCACUGUGCACAAAUUGUAGACCUUUCAGUAGGCCUAUGUUGUUUUUCACAAUCUCUGAAUGUAAUAGAAUGGUUUUGAAUCUUGGGAAAUACAAUACAACUUUCAGCAACGGAUCUCUUGGCUCUC
rnacentral:misc_RNA from 1 species